AAUAAUAGCAAAAGAAAGAAGUAAUUUUCUAUCAUCUUAUCAAAUCUUACUUCUCAAACAUCAAUUGAUAUUGAAAAUUAUUUGAAUCGAAAGGUUGUUAAUUUUUUGGUUUUACCAGUUUGGGUUCAAUUAUUUCAUUCAUGGAAAAAGCUUGGCCUUUUCUAAUAGAACACUUCUGAGUAAAAUAUGUUUUUGUCAAUUAUGAGCUAGUUAAGUUGAGAAAAUGGGCAAUAAGGUCAUUCAAAUAUGAUCGGCUAUGAAUUUUGGCUCCAUCUUCUUUUCCAAUGGGUCAGCUAACCCUUUUAUAAAUAGACCACAGACCUACUCUCACAGCUCAAAACAUCACCUGUUUUCUCUGCUUCAACUUCAAAUUCUCGUUUGAAGUUUCUUUUUUGCAUCAUCUGAAUUCUGAAAUCACCAUGAGAAGUUACAGUCCUUCAGUUCUACUUCUAGUUUUCACGAUCAUUUUGGGUGCCUUCCGUCUCUGUACUUGCAGGCAUAUCAGCUAUCAAGAAUCAGAUCAAAGAACUCAGCAUCUCUCUGCUAUUCCCUACUCUUUGCAAUCUAGAUAUGACUUGUCCAGCACAGUAUAUGGUGUAUCACAUAAACUUGUUCCUGGCGGACCAAAUCCACUGCACAAUUGAUAGAAUUUUCCCAUUUCUCCGGCUUGUUUCCGGAAUAAUUCACAGCUCUAACAGGUGACUAAUGAUUAAUCAAUGAGGAGAACGGGGAACAGAAACACACUGAAGACUGGACAACUUUAACAGGAACUUGAGAGUUGUAAGAUUCCCACAUUUUCUUAUUCUUUUCAGCCUAAAAAUGAAAGAAUCAUGCAUGUAUGGAAGCCUACUUAUCUGUCUAUUCAAUAAAUAACUAUAAUUAAUUAACAAUUAUUCUCUGACACCCUCUACUGUGAAUUGUGUCAGAAGAACAAGUAUAGCUCAUGAGGCCGUCAUAUGAUGAAUGCCCAUUGGAUUAGUUGUAAGGACGACCAUAAAACCUUAGAGAAUUGGGAGAAAAUUGAGCUUGAUUAGCCAUAAAUUUAUACAAUUUACUUAGCUGAAACCCAUGGAUAAUCUGACAGAACAAGAAAAGUUAAACAGAGAAGAUCACAUGUGAAUUUAACCCAAUAUAUAGCUACAGCUCCAUGUAAUUAAUGCCUUAAUUGAGCAGAAAUGCAGGCAGUUAAGGUGUUCUGAUUUUUUUCUUGUUUGUAGUACCCUAACUAAUUGAGAAAAUUACUUGUAAUUGAUAAGUCCUCCUUCCUUAAUUGGUCUUUGACUAUCGUAUUUUAUUUUGGUAAUCAAUUAUUCAAACUUUUCCCAUAAACAUCCAAUUUAGUUGUUACCAACUUUCCUUGUAUUUAUCUUCUUGCCUCUUCAAGAUUCCUAGUUUAAUAACUCCAAAUUUACCAAUUUGUCACUAACCUCAAAUUUUGAAAAGAAUAAUGGAGUUCUUCAUUGAAUAGAUAACAAGAGCAGUAAGGGAAACAGGUGAGCUCACUGACAAAGCAAAGAUGAACAGUUUGUUUCAUUUAUUUAUCUAAUUUUUGUGUUAAUUAAAUCAAGAAGCCUGAAAGCUGACGCAAUGGACUUGGCUAGCUGGUAGCAGCUCUGCUUGUAAUCUUUAUCAGCUCUGUUCUCUACAGGGAUGAGGAACUGUAACUUGGAAAACACUGCAUUUGUCUUCUCUGGAGAUGGCAACAGAAAUGCAUAUUCUUUUCUCACUUAAAUAAAAAAAAUUCUAAAAUACCCAGAUGACUCCUGGAUUUCCAGGUUUAUUUUAUGAAUCUACAACAACAGAACUCCAAAUGGCUCGAAGGGUCAACAGUACACUUUUUUUCUUAAUUUAUUUUUUCAAGUCUUACUAAUAAACAAUCUAUUUGCAUACGUAGUCAGCUUAUAUAUUUUAGUGUAAAUGCAAUAUGUAUUAGUGUCUGGUCAAGCACUGUGUGAACAUUGCAGACUUUGUCUGAGAAACAAAAAUCAAUGACACGAAUUCAUGGCAGGAUCACAGGAAGCUGUGUGGAUUUCAUACUUCAUAGUUCAUAUCCACCUGGAAAUUCUAGCAAAAUUUUUCAACAUUUACAGAGAUUGAAUGUCUUCAUGCUAUGAUAUUAACUUCUUGGAAGAUGAAGAAGAAGAAGAAGAAGAAAUCAUGAUCAGGAUGCCACUAAGAUGAUGAGGUGUACAUAUAUAUCAUCCUCAUCCCCACCUCAAAAAAGUCAACCUUUGUCAUUUGUGAGGUACAGAGUAAGAGGAUGUGCCAGCAACCAAUCAGUUUAAAUUUAAAAUUUUCAGAAGUCAGACUUUGAUAGAAUAAAAAAGCUUAAAAUUUUGUUCUCCAGUAUUGCAUUUGCACGCCACAGGUUGCCCCCGACCCCUCUUAUAAAUAAACAUUCAACCUACCUAACUCAUCAUCGAAACAACCAAACUGCCUUGGUCCCUCUGCACUAAAAUCCCAUUUACCUACCAAGCUCAUUCCCCACAUUCAGUAUCAUGAGAAUUAAAAAGUCUCAGCUUUUCCUUAUUUUCCUCAUACUGCUGGCUCUUGUCCAUGUUACCAGUUGCCGCUACACCUACCAAGUUCCAGCAACAGAACAGGAAUCAAAAACCAAGUAUUCUGACAUGUUUCUACGAAGCCUUUCUGCCAUACACAAGGCUAUAAAGUCCAGCAACAGCAAGACCAGUUCAAUACACGCUGUCUCUCGCCGACUUGUACCAUGCGGACCAAACCCACUUCACAACUGAUUGUUUUAAACCAAAUUCUAGUUUUCCAUUUCUGUCAUAUAUACAUACACUUGUGCUCUUUAAAUUUGUAUGAUAAAAGAUACAGUAUUCACAAGAGUAGAAAGUGUUUGAAAAUUGCAUGUUACAGGCUAUUUUAGUGAGCACAUUACAGUUGAACAGCAGUUGUUCUUUUGUUGUUUCC